CAUACAGGCAUUAGCUGCAUGGAAAUCAUACUACUCAUACUAUUGGAUUGGAAUUGAGUAUAAUGCAGGAAAAGGAUGGAUAUGGGAUGAUGCAACUAUUUUUCAUCUCAGCAUAAGCAAACCAUAUAAUGUACAUGGUGGAAAUUGUGCUGUCAUCUCGUCUUCUACUUAUUAUGUGCGAUGUGGAGAAUCUAUGAAAUGGAUUUGUGAAAAGCCGAGCACUUGGAUACACAUUUAAAUGAUUCUAUCAAGAAUAAAGAAGCCAUUUUAUGUUUAUAAACAUAAUUGUAAAUGACCUAUUGAAACGGUAUAAUAAAAUGUGAACAUAGUUCUGAUUAUUUAAA